rnacentral:rRNA from 1 species
UUUAUACUCCCCGGGGAGAAAAUAGCAUAUCAAUAAGCCGCAUGUAAAAGAAACCAACAGGGAUUGCCCUAGUAACGGCGAGUGAAGCGGCAACAGCUCAAAUUUGAAAUCUGGCUCUUUUAGAGUCCGAGUUGUAAUUUGCAGAGGGCGCUUUGGCUUUGGCAGCGGUCCAAGUUCCUUGGAACAGGACGUCACAGAGGGUGAGAAUCCCGUACGUGGUCGCUGGCUAUUGCCGUGUAAAGCCCCUUCGACGAGUCGAGUUGUUUGGGAAUGCAGCUCUAAAUGGGAGGUACAUUUCUUCUAAAGCUAAAUAUUGGCCAGAGACCGAUAGCGCACAAGUAGAGUGAUCGAAAGAUGAAAAGCACUUUGGAAAGAGAGUCAAACAGCACGUGAAAUUGUUGAAAGGGAAGCGCUUGCAGCCAGACUUGCUUACAGUUGCUCAUCCGGGUUUCUACCCGGUGCACUCUUCUGUAGGCAGGCCAGCAUCAGUUUGGGCGGUAGGAUAAAGGUCUCUGUCACGUACCUCCUUUCGGGGAGGCCUUAUAGGGGAGACGACAUACUACCAGCCUGGACUGAGGUCCGCGCAUCUGCUAGGAUGCUGGCGUAAUGGCUGUAAGCGGCCCGUCUUGAAACACGGACCAAGGAGUCUAACAUCUAUGCGAGUGUUUGGGUGUCAAGCCCGAGCGCGUAAUGAAAGUGAACGGAGGUGGGAACCCGCAAGGGUGCACCAUCGACCGAUCCUGAUGUCUUCGGAAGGAUUUGAGUAAGAGCAUGGCUGUUGGGACCCGAAAGAUGGUGAACUAUGCUUGAAUAGGGUGAAGCCAGAGGAAACUCUGGUGGAGGCUCGCAGCGGUUCUGACGUGCAAAUCGAUCGUCAAAUUUGGGCAUAGGGGCGAAAGACUAAUCGAACUAUCUAGUAGCUGGUCCUGCAGUUUUCCUCCCCCCCCCCAGA